UUCUUCUAACAUUUACUAAAUGACUGGGGUUUUUUGUUUGCUUUACAAUAGUAAAAUCAACUAUAUCAACUACUGGCUAAGUUCCAGGAUAUAUGUGUAUGCUAAACCCCUGUGGAUACAAAGAGGAGGGAAAAUUUUUUUUUUUUAAAUUGUUCUUAAUCUCAAGAAGUUCACAAUUUACUGGGUAAGACAAUGUGCAAAUGAUCAUGUGCAACCAAGAUAUAUACAAACUAAAUUGAAAUCCAAAUAUCUAUAAUUCAAAAAGUUUGGAAUUGAUAUUAAGGUUUCUUAUCCUUUGUUAUGCUCUACCUUCCCCUGUCACUUUUACUAGCAACGGAAGAUGCCAUCAGGUAAGGCUCACAGAAGUGGAAUGAGGGAAUAAGGUUUUUUUUUCGUUUUAUCCAUAAAAAAUUGUUUUUAUGGAUAAAUUUAUCUGAAAUUUAUCUGAAAAGGGGGGCAGGGGAAGAAGGAUGGAUCAAUCAAUGUUAUUAUUUCAGCCUUUCUUCCUUGUGCACUUCCUUACCAAUCUUAUUCCCUAUGCAUAUGAGCCUCCAAUCAAAGAUAUGCUAUUUGUAUCUGUCUAGAAGUGAAGACAUGGAUGAAAAGAAAAAAGUUUUAAUUGGACCCCUUAAAAUUAAGCAGAGGUUUUGAAAGUGUAUUUAUUUAUAUCUAUUUGUGGUAUGCUGAGAAUUAUAUUGCUUGAUGUGGAACUAAGGUAGUUAAUGAUUUUACUAACCACCUAGAUUUGCUUGACUUCCCUUACUAUCCAAAAGAGAUUGGACUAAUCUGGGAAUCAGAAUCAACCAAUCAGGAAGCAGACUGAGCAUCCCUUGCGGCUGACAUACCAACAAGUUUUCUGUAAUGCUGAGUAAAUUCAAAAACCUUUUGCUGUGGCAGCAACCACAAGAGUGGUUUAAUUUUGCACAGACAUCCUGAAUCAAGGACAUUUCCUUGCUUUAUUAACUGUAAUCUUGGUUGACAAUAGGCAAGACAUUCUGAGUCAGGAGCACUUUCUUACUUUAUGGCUUUAUAAUUCCUCUCUCCUAACGCUUUCCAGUGCUCAUUUCAAUCUGCAGCUCCAUAUGCAUACUGCCAGCUUGAAAGAAUUAAAGUAUGCAUACAACCUAACGCUAUUUUGUCUUUCUUAGACUGAACUUUGGGAAAAGGUUGACAUAGAUUAUUAUUAUUUUUUUAAAAGAUGUUUUGGUCGUAGAAUUAAUCAAACAUUUCCUUCAAAGACUUUCAAAAGCUGUGUUUUAGUAAAAUCUGUUGCCUAUUAUUAUUCUAGCAAGCUAGGAAGUAUAUUUCAGGAACAGUUUGAUACAAAGAGUUUAACUAAACAGAAUAGGUAAAUUAUUGACAUAAUCUCAUUUCCUAAUUAGCUUGACAUGACUUGAAGCAUUAUUCAGUAUCUCUCCUUUUUUGACUACUGGGAUAAUGCAUAGGCACACUGCUGGAACCUAAUCCUUUGGAUCAGUUUCUUUAUUUACUAGUUCACAAUGGAACUAAAUUUGAGCUCAACAAAUUUUCAUUAAUCACACACCAUGUACAAAGCACUUUAGGUCACCAGAUGAGAUAAAAAGUAAAUAAGUUUCUUGUUGAUGAUCAAUAGAAAUUCGAUGACUUAGCCUCUUUAUUCUUAAGGCAGGAGGUUUGUAUUUAUAUUCCUAGUGCUUAGCAUAGAUGGGUCCCUACAAUAACAGUUCAUAUUUAUUUAGUGUUAUGCAGUUUAUAAAGCACUUUCAUUUCCCAAACCCCACAAGACAGUACAAGUAUUAUUCCCUUUGUGUAAUAAUAACUACAAUUCAUUGCAAUUCUAAGAUGUCACUGCCCUUCCAAGGGCAAAACUCUGAAAACUUCGAAAUGGCAAGGUUUUGAGGAUCAUGAAAGGUGACAGACUCUCUUGUUAAAAAUAGACUUUGCUCUUGAGGGCCAAAAAUUACAUCUUAGCAGGAGUCACAGGUUAAAUGAAACAUGGGGCAUUUCCACUGAUUAAAUGCUCAUAAGGUUACCUGCUCAUGGUGGACAAGAGAGAAUGGUCCAAACAUAUAAAAAUAAAUUAGGGGACUUUCCAAAGCAUCAAAGCAUCCCAUCCAUGCUGUUUGGACAGGGAAAGUGAAUAAAACAGGAUGGAGAUAUCUUUGUUAGCAUUCUUGUGGUUGUGCAAGUGAGCCUGAUAACUUGGUAAACAAGUAGUAAACAUUACUUUAAAUUUUGUAAUCUCUUAUAAGAACCAGAACCUAUCCUCUGAUAUUUUAUAUAGAAUAUCAAACUGGUUAAUACUGAUUACAAUAGAGUAAGAGUCCAAAUUAAUUAUUUCUCAUAUUCCUUUCUCUUCUUUCCUUCCUUCUUUUUCCUUUCUUGCUUCCUCCUUUCCUCUCUCCCUCCCUCCUACUUCACCACUUUUUUCUUUCUUCCAGGUUUGUUGCUUUCUCUCUUAUUACUACUUCAUUAUAAUUCCCCUCCCCCAUCCAUGCUUACUAUUUUAUCAAUUUAUUCAGGUUUAUUUCGUGUUGGUUUUGCUACUUUGGAUCCAUCUCUCAAAAUUUAUUGCUUAAGAGCCACCUCUAUGGGAAGCUGGACUAUAGGUUUGGGAAACUUUUGAGCACCAAGAAAAAAACUUGGGUUUUUAUUUUGCUUUUGUUAAAAAGCCUUGUUGCUUUAAAAGCUGAUAUUAACCCAUCUUUUACUCCUCAUGGAUUUUAAAAUUGAUUUUUUGACUCCUUAUGGAUUUUUAGAAUCAACCUUUUGGCUCACCUAUAGUUAAGCUGAUAUCUAAGUAUUAAUGCUUUAAUGUUAAUUUGUUCAAUAAACAAAAAGAUUUCCAGGGAAAAGUAAAUACAGCCAGAAGCCAGAAUAUGCUGUUCUUUGAAGAACCUACUGUAGCAACAUAUAAUUGCAGCUUAUAUUUGAUUGGUGCUCUCCAGUUUUUCAAAAAUAAUUUCAGAAACAUUAUUUCAUUAAAUUUUACAAUAGGACAUUAAUUUGAAUAGUAUUAAAAUAAGACAGUAGGAUGUAAGUUUUUCUCCCAGAAGAAUACAAAUUCUUUAAGCUUAGAGACUGUUUUUUCUAUCCUGUAGUUAGCUCUCCAGAGCCUAAGGAAACAGAGCCUUGAACUUAGUCAGCUCUUAGUAAAUGUUCAGUUGAAUUGAUAUUAUACUGUAGUACUACAGUAGUAAGUUUGCAGGAAUGUGACAAAAAGAUAUAUAAAACUGACAUUUAGACUUUAAGCCUGCUCUAAAUUUAAAUAGCAAGACUAUUCAAAUCUUAUCAGGCCCUCCAUUAUUUUGAAUUAAAACUGUAAAAGAAAAUAUCCAUAUUGCAUUAAAGCUUUUGUUCAUCUUAAAAAUAAGUUUCUGAGAUGACAAGCUAGCACAGUAGAUACCACUUUAGCUAUAAAAAUUCAUAGUCAAAAGAGGCUAAGCAGUCCCAAACCAAGUGUUUUCAAACUUGGGCAGUUAGUGACAAAGAUAAUGGCUUUUAGACUCUUACAGAUGAAUGUGAGCAUUACAUAUGGAGGCAGGAACCAAUUAAGACACUAGCUGCAUGAGCAUGGGCAAAUGAUUUAAUUUCCUAGCUUCAGAUUUUUAAUUUGUAAAAUGGGAAUAAUAAUUACCUAAUAGAAGAGAGCACAUUAUAGACCAAACUUGUUUGUCAUGAUAAUGUGUCAAUUCCUUUAAAUUUUAAACUUUAAAGCUCCACAUAAA
ensembl:lncRNA